CUUUUCAGCGCCCAGGGAAGCGAGGGAACAGCAGGCUCCUUCCAGCAGCACAUCGGGAUGGGAGACCGGGAUUGAUUCGGGGCAAGUACUCAAAGGACCAAGACAAUGUAAUAUUCCCACGGUACAGAGCCAAGUGUGACCAGCUGCUUCAAACAAACAGCAGGACAAGGCCAUCUCUGCCAAGGUGGGAAGUGGAUGCAAUUGCGAAACGUCCUUGAACCAAUCGACUUGCUCAGCCAGAGGCAGUGAAGAGUUUGCAAAGGGUUAGGAGUCAAAUGCAGAGAAGACCAGGACAACCAGAACUGGACACAAUACACCAGAUUUGUUUUUGCGGAUCUUCCCAAUCAGGUCUGUCCUCACUCGCACCCUCAGCUUGUUCUUCCAUCGCCUCCCUUGAAAUCAAAUAUUUCCAGAUCAUGACCCAACCAAGUUCCAAUCCCGCUCGUGACAACAAUUUGCUGCGGUUUGCGUACAAAACUCCCUGGCAACGAGAUGCUGCCGACCUGCUGAGUUUCUGAAGCAAAUUUUUAGUGUUCACGUCAAGACUUCAGCUGGACCCCAGUGAAGAAUGAGCACAGAUCAAAGAUGAAGAAUGAAUUACCUGGCUCUGUGAGGUUGAUGGAAUUCCUGGUCACAUUAAGUAUCGUCCCAACCCCUAUUGAUUGCGACGCACUGGUGUCUGCCUUGGUGCUGGGACUGGAAGGAUUCAAUGGCCAGCUCUCUCCUGUCUGAGCUAAAGUUGUAAUUCCUGCUGGCAUUGUUUAAUGCUUAGCAUUGAAAGUACGGUCCUGUACCUCGACACAAUACACACUCUCGAACAAGACUAUUCCCAAGUGGAACCUCCAUUUUAUUGACUCUGGGGGUGAGGAAAACCCCAGCAACAGGAACUGGAACAAAACAAGACAAAGAGGAAAUAAAAUAUUGGAUGUUGAAA